AGAGUUUGAUCAUGGCUCAGAUUGAACGCUGGCGGCAGGCCUAACACAUGCAAGUCGAGCGGAAACGAGUUAUCUGAACCUUCGGGGAACGAUAACGGCGUCGAGCGGCGGACGGGUGAGUAAUGCCUAGGAAAUUGCCCUGAUGUGGGGGAUAACCAUUGGAAACGAUGGCUAAUACCGCAUGAUGCCUACGGGCCAAAGAGGGGGACCUUCGGGCCUCUCGCGUCAGGAUAUGCCUAGGUGGGAUUAGCUAGUUGGUGAGGUAAGGGCUCACCAAGGCGACGAUCCCUAGCUGGUCUGAGAGGAUGAUCAGCCACACUGGAACUGAGACACGGUCCAGACUCCUACGGGAGGCAGCAGUGGGGAAUAUUGCACAAUGGGCGCAAGCCUGAUACAGCCAUGCCGCGUGUAUGAAGAAGGCCUUCGGGUUGUAAAGUACUUUCAGUCGUGAGGAAGGCGGCGUCGUUAAUAGCGGCGUUGUUUGACGUUAGCGACAGAAGAAGCACCGGCUAACUCCGUGCCAGCAGCCGCGGUAAUACGGAGGGUGCGAGCGUUAAUCGGAAUUACUGGGCGUAAAGCGCAUGCAGGUGGUUUGUUAAGUCAGAUGUGAAAGCCCGGGGCUCAACCUCGGAAUAGCAUUUGAAACUGGCAGACUAGAGUACUGUAGAGGGGGGUAGAAUUUCAGGUGUAGCGGUGAAAUGCGUAGAGAUCUGAAGGAAUACCGGUGGCGAAGGCGGCCC
rnacentral:rRNA from 1 species